GUCCAUGUCAACAUCUGGGAAUGGGGGAGAGGUUGCCAGCCACACAGUACAAAUUGUCACUUGCAUAAGGGAGCAGGAAAGAACAAUUGGGGUGCCCAAUGGCUUCCCUACCCACUUCCUCAUUCGGGACCCUGGCUUGGUGGCCAUGAAAGCUAGAACCACAAUGGCAGUUUUGGCCAAUAUGCAAGAAAUUGCCACUGAGAAGAUCAAGCCAAAAGCAGUUUGUCGAAGGAGGCAGGUGACUUCCUCAGGCUGGCCAAUGAAGAGCAGAGCACAAAGGAAGGAGAGCAGGAGGAAAAGGAGGAGAAUAUAAGUGAGGUUGCGGUUGUUGGCUUUAACUAUGGGAGUAUCUCUAUGCUUUGUGAAUAUUUGAAGCACCAAAGCUGUGAUGAAGGAAAAGAAGAGGGCAAACGUGGCCAAACUGAUCCCCAAUGGUUCUCCAUAAGACAAGAAUGUUUUGUCUUUGGGGAGGCAGCCAUUCUGUUCAUUGUUUGCAUAUUGAUCUCCAGGGCAUUCUGAACAGUCGUCCAUGUCUGAAAAUGAAAAUGGAAGAAACAAAUCUUAUUUUUAAAAAAGUUAUUCUGUCCCCAGAUUGUCACAAUGCAUCUAAGAGAUGCCAGAAUAUAUAUUUGCUACUUCCAUACUGUUUUCCCACUAGAGAAAGGAGCUUCUGAUGCACAGGUAAAAUUAAAGCGUGUGAUGCAUUCCUUACCCUCCUUGUUUGAGAUCUUCCCUUCUGGACACGGAAGGCAAUCAUAGCAGCAGAAUGGCUUUCCUUCCUUCUUGUUCUUUCUAUAACCUACAUGACAAUUCUCAUUACACAGAGAAGUGGGUUGUGCCUGUUCAUAAAUGAAAGAAGGAAAUCGUUUGGGACUUAUCUUCAAAUAGUAAAAAUGACAGUUAAGCAGAUUGCUAUAGGUUUUUUUUUUGUUUUAUCUGAAGAUGAUCUUAAAUCCAGCACUAAUGGUAGCAUGGAAACGUCUACCAUUACUCCAGUACCUUUGCCUUUAUGAAAACCAUAUUGGUAAGUAUUUGAACUUCUUCAGAGAUUAGCAAGGCAAUAUCUUAUCAAAUUAGAAAAUGUUCAGGUGAAAGCUUAUUGGGUCAGUAUCUCCUGAAUAUAGAAAUCGCUCAAGUGCUUUUGACUCACAGUUGCAAUAGAAAUUAUUGAAAUUCUGCCCUGUGCAGGUAGUCUAACCACUGUUUCUUUAACUUGGAACUUUAAACCAUGCUUCCAAUGGUUUCUCUGGCAACAUUCAGUGCCUUUGCUUUCUUUUUGUAUACUUGUAUCUUUUUUGUGAAGGGCGAUGAUCUCUUGUCUUACCUUCUUGGACCAUUCUACUGACUUAGAAAUAUGGCUAACAUACAGGAACAUUUGACAUUUAACAAACCCCUUGCACGUUCAGGUAUUUCAUGUGUUAGAUAGAGUUAGAAAUAAGAUAGCUUUCCUUUUAUCAGUGCUACAGCCUGAUAUUUCCUUCACAGAUGAAGUCUGAUAAUUGAUUAUUCAAUAUGUUGCAAUGAGGCAGUUUUGGGACACUGAGCAAAAAACUAGAGAAAAUCCAGAACAACGUCUUACCUGGUUGAACCAGUUGGGCCACAUGAUACCAUCAUCAUGAAUGGUUAACCUCUUUUCUGGGGGAGCUUGUGGGUCCAUUGUUCCAACUUUGACUCUCAGAAAUGACUGAUUUGGGAAUGUGACCCAAUUUAUUAUAUCAAAUCCAGCUACUAAUUCCCCAUUUUGGUCAAAAGAAACUUCUUCCCCAACACUAUUAUUAAAUGAAACACUCCCCAGAAAGUGGUGGAGCUAAGUUUGAAGAGGAAAAAGGCAAUUAAUGAAGAUGCCAAAAAUAAUUAAAUAUUAGUAAUAUUCGUACAAAUAGAGUGCUUAUCUUUAACAUUUAAGACCUAGAGUUUGUGGUCCAUUUAAAAGUUGUAUCUUAGUGUUUUUCUUUCUCUGUUUUUAAUUAGUCUCUUCUUCAAAAAUGGAUGGAGCUAAAAAGGAAAAAGGAAUUAAUGAGCAGUGCUAUUUUCUAGAAAAAGAGGUCUGGAACUCACCACAAACACCUCCCUCGUUCCCUUGGAAUAGCAAUGACGGCACCCUGAGAGGGGAGAGAACUGAGUUCCAGCUGAAAAAGGACCUGCUCAUGAGCAUAUACAAAAGAGCAACAUUGUGGAACACAAUAUUCAUUUUAAAUGUUUUGUGAACGUUACUUUCAAUGGUAGUAAUGUUCAUUGUGGUGGUAAGAUGUGGUUCUUUUGAGAAUUACAGUUAGUCUUGGCCUAAAUUUCAUAGAACUUAGACCACAAAUAUUAGACAGGGUGUACCUUCAGAUAGGAGGAUAAGCUGUGUAGAUAAGCUGCUCAUCACUUUCCAGGGAUACAGGGCUGCCUUUGUACAAAUAUUAUUUUUUUUAAAGAAUAAUCUUUUAUUAACCGACCAAUCACAUAAAAUCAAACCAAAUUACAUAAGUUCCAAAUUACACAGCCGAAUUUUAAAUUUUUGUUGGGGGUACCCAUAUUUCAAGUUCCGAAGGGAUCCAAUCAACUUCUUGCUUCUUACUGCUGUUUUAAUGUCCACAAAUCUAACCUUAUGAUAUUCACAGUACUAUCCAGUCCUUUCUUAUUAUUUUUCCACAUCUCUUGUUGUUAUUUUCAUAUAUUUUUCCUUUCUCUUUGUGACCUCUGAUAGUCUCCGCAAGCUGGUUAGAACAGUUUGUAAUCCUGCGUGGAUAUUAUUUUUAUCCAGUAGCCAUAUCCAGACGUUUUCCAUAUAACAUCACUUCCAUACAUCAAAACAGUCUUAGCGUCAUUAAUCUUCACCAAUCUGCCUCCUUUCUCAAAACCUCUGAGGAGAUUCACUAGGAAUGCAGUCUGAAAACAAGUCCGUUCUUCCUCCCGGCUAUAAAUCCUUUGGCAAGAUGGCGACUCCAAAUUAAUUGCUGCGCCAUUCCCAAAAGCUCUUAUUGCUUCUCGGUCUCCAUAAAGCAUACUUUGGGUUAAAGUUUAUCUCCACACAGACCUUAAUCAUCCUGCUUGGGUCAGUUCAACCGACGGUUCUAAUGAGGAGGGGUUCUUGUAAAUCACAUAGAAGGAAAGUAAAAAGGGUCCCCCCCCCAUUCAGCCCCGUUGUCAACAUACCCCGCCUUUGGUGUAUCUUCAUCGUAAAAUAUUCCUGUUUCUCCAGCCCGUCGUCUUCUUUCGCAGAGGUCACUUAAAUUAGCAGACUUCACUCCCCUUCUUCACUUGAAAUAUGUGCAUUUGCUUCUUUUGUAAUUAAUUAUUCCAAAUUGCUGCAACUAGUGCGCAAUCAGAGACAGCGUCCAGGAGAGCCGAGGUCCACACAGGGGCAUUCUGCCUAGGGCCCUCACCCCUUCUUUCGAAUUAGGGGUGAUUUAUGGGCACAGCAGGCAAGGGCAGUGUUCGCCAUUUCCUUGGGGCAACAAGGGAGGCUGCCUACUCCCAUAACAGCCUCUUAAUUACCCCGUGUGGGUCGGAGAGAUGGUAUUGUCGGCCAUCUUCCAAUGCGCCCCCAGUGGCCCCCUGCCUUUGUACAAAUAGUGAUAGCAUGAUAUCGUGUACCUAGCCAUCUAUAGCCAUAUUUUGCUAUUCCAAGGACAACUGAACCCACUUUAAAGUGAUGGCAGAAUUUCAUCCAUUAUGUUAUCCUUACCAUUAGUGGAUAGUCAUUUCCUCCCUGAGAGGAAAAAGGAAAGAGAAUACCGCCUACUGAAGAGGUAUUCCAGAAAAGUCCCCCCUUUGGCUGAGCUCCAGAGUUGAUUACAGACAUCUGUAUUAACUGGAAGACAACAUUACCUGCCAUGGCUGUUGAUCUGUAAGUUUCCAUCUUUCUCCUUCUGCCAUUGCUCUGCAAUUUAAUUUGGUGGACUGCAUGGUGUGCAAAGCAUGUGCCAAAAUAUAGAUUGCAUUGUAGAUGCUGUAGCUGUGGGCUGUCAUGCUCGUUUCAAAAACAGACCCAGGAAGGCUCUCAAUAUUCUCCUCCCCAGUACAGAGUUUGUCAUCUUUCUUCUCUGAAGCAGAAUCAUUAAAACCACAAUUAAAUGCCUCUUCCCAGAAAACCCUGAGAAAGCCAUCUUCUUUUUCCAAGGUAGGCUUUCUCAUCUGAAUAAAUUUCUGGAAUCCUGGAAGAUCCUUAGAGUGAACUGCAAAGGAUAGAGCCCCAUGGAGGAAUGUGAUGUCCCAACCUCUUUGAAAGGGAAAUGAGGUGAAAUCCAUCUGGGCUAUCAUAAUCCAGAUUUUUCUAUUUCCUUGUAUUGGCACAUCAUUCAUUUCUGCAAGCCUGGGUAGCGUUCUCAUUCCCAUAAUUGUAUGAAUUUCACCAUGUACAACCACAGCAUUGGCAGUGCUUCCCACAAUAAUGUUCAAUGUUUUCGAACCUUCUUCCACCAUUUCCUCAAACUUACUAGAAGAGGUAUCCUUAGGGAAACUUCCUAUAAAAUCAAAGCAGAUACCCUUCUGGGCAAACAUGGGGAGAAUAUUUUCUACAAAUCUCUCUCCAGUGUCAUCAUGGAGUUUAAAAAGCACACCGAUCCACAUCCAACGGAAAUGCAGCAGUAACUGGAGGAUCCCCUCGUAUUGCUGAGUCCCACCUGGGAAUAUCCAGUGGGUGAAAAGGGCUUGAAUGUCAUUAGUUGUCACAGGAGAAGAGCCAUAGAUGAGCUGAAAAGGGUCAUUGUUAAAAUCAAAGGAGGAAAGAUGAUAACAAAUGCUGAUAUCAAAACACCAAUUAGACUCAAAACCAGAUUUCAAUCUCUAUUUAAUUGGUAUAUAUUAACCAGGGGGAUUUAGCUUUUUGUUUAUUUCUGUUAAUUUAGAAUUUGCGGUUUGGGGAAAUACUUGGAUAUUAAUGUCUUUACAUCAAGUAGAACAAUUAUGCAGUUAUGUUUGUGGCAGAAUUUGCUGCCCUUCAUAUCUAAAGGAGGAUAAAGGAAAGAACAGGUAAAUAAAUGCUUGUUCACAGAAAACCCUGAUAAAGCUUUCCCCCCGCUCCCAAUGUACGUUUUCUCAUUAGAAUGCAUUCUGGAAUCCUAAAUGAUUCCUUGAGUUAACUGCAAAGGAUAGAAAAACAUGGAGGAAAACUAUUUCCCACCACCUUUGCAUGGGAAAUUAUAUGAAAUCCACCUGGACUGUUCUAAUUUCAAACUUUUGCCUUGGUUUGUUUUGGUGCAUCAUCUGUUUCUGCAAUAUUGGGCAUCCUUCUCAUCACCAUAAUGUUGUGACUUUCAACAUUCACAAUCACUUGGUGUGCUUCCCAAAACAACUAUGGUCAUUUUGGAUCCAUUCUGCACAAUGUCUUGGAAUUCACCAGAAAAACAAUGUUAGUUUAUGGACUUUUUCUAUAAAAUCAGACACAGGAACAUUUUUUUGUACAAAUAGCCCUAAACUGUCACCCAUCAGAUAAACCACAUCCAUGUGAAAUUUAACUGUUGCUGAGCUCCAGGUGAGAACAUUUGGUGGAUAAAGCCAGCUUGGAUGUUUUCAUUCAUUACAGGGGAAGACCCAUACAUGAGCCAAAUAUGAUAUUUCUAAAAAGCGAGAGGAACAUUUAUACCAUAAGGUGAUAUGAAACAUCACUUAAAUGCAAAUCCAGAUAUCAGAUUUAAUUUGAUCAACAUUCAUUAAUCUGAAGGUGUAACAGACAGCAGAGCCAGACCAGAGCCUGGGGAUGCAGUGCCUCGGAAUUCCAUCAGAGGGCUGGUGCAUCCCUCUGAUUGGCUACCAAGACAGCCAGUAAGAAAGAGGGUGGAGCCAGCAGUUAGAGAGGGAAGAGAGGGAUCAGAUGGUUUAUUGGAGAGAGAAGACUUGGUUCUGAGCUGUGCGUAACAUCCACCCUGAGGAAAAUGUCUAUAGCUAGAGAAUGGAGCCUCUGGGCUUAGAUAGCAUGACACUGUGUAGAGUAUUGUAAGAGUUUUCAACAAGAGUUAAGUGGAGAGCUGAGUUUGUUCAAGGAGAAGUAGAGUUGUGGGGAUACCAGGUGCACCAACUCCUAGGGGCCGAGGAAGUUUCGUCCCCACCAAUGUAUUUUCUGAGGGGGCUAAGCCCCUUCAAUAUUCAAGGGGCAUUCAGUUCCUCAUGGCAUCACACGCAUGAUGUCAAGGUGUCAUAUGACAUCACGCACAUGAAGUCAUUACGUCAUGCUGCACUGCACAUGGGCCCCCUCAAUCCUCUUCAGAAGAUGGCACCUCUGCAGGAUCCCAUCUGCUUGGGUCUCCUUCCAGUCAGGAAGGGAGAGAUCUUCUAGAAAGAGAAGACACCCAAACCCGUUAAGAGGGCUGGAGUGAUCCCCUGGGGCUGUUGUGCUGUUUGGAGAACCUCAGGAGUGGGAGUGAUAGAAGGUGGGGAAACUGACAGAAAGCACUACCUUGUAUAAGAACCAAAGUCUGAAACUGUAAUAUCUAUGCAAUGUGGUUUAAGAAACUGAAGUAAUGAAAGAUGGAAAUGAGCUGAUUGUUUACCAAUUGUAACAUCAAACUGAAAAUAGGGAACUGCCAUUUUAAAUAAGCUGUAUGUUCACUACCUUGUUUUGAAGCCUGUAACAUCCACUAAAUUGAAUAUUAAUAAGUUAACUGUUUCUUGAAUGACCGCUCCCCACUUAAAACGGGGGGCGCCCUUUGCGUGGACGCACGCAGCGCCUGGAUCUGGAGUGGCUCCAUCAGCAUAGGCUUGGCUUUGCCUUCCCUCAGGUGGGAUACCUGGAGGUCUCCGCCUACCUCAGUCAGUUGUCCAAUCCCACCUGGGGGAAGCGUUGCCAAGGAGACCAGGCCAGGUAGGGGAGGGAUUACCUGCCCACACAAUAGAGGGAGGAUCUUACCUGGGAAUCCUCACUUGGCUCCAGAGCUGAAAGAACUUUAUCUCCUGAUACAUCUUUUGUCUUACCAACUUUAUUCUGCAAAAUAUUUUUUUCUAAUUUUUCAACUUCUGCGUGAAGUUGACCAUUACCUCACACACGCUAGAUAACCCGUGGUGGUUACAGAGUUUUACUGAGGGGGAUCUGCUUCAGAAGGAUUCCAAUAUCACUUAUUUCUGUUGAUUUGGAAUGUUAAAGUUAUAUUGGGAAAUAUAUAAGUGAAUUUUCAGCAGGCAUAGCAAACACACAGUUGUGUUACCUCAGGCAGCAGACGUUUUGUUACAGUCCUGCACAAGAGUAAAGUCUCCAAUGAGGAAUUCUUCCACCUGAGUUUUUAAGGAGGUGUAGAACUGAAGCAGACAUAUUUCUCACAACCUGCAUUUUUGGUUGAUAAAUACCAGCCUAUACCCACUAUUUGCCAUUCCCUCGAUAUUUUAUUCUGCAAGAUGUUGAAUCACAAAAACAUUCAAUUACCAGCAUGCAACCCAAUGAGUCUUAGUCAUAGACAACUAUAAAUGGCUUUCAUGAUAACCCAUGUUCCAUGCAAACCUCUUACCCUUGGCAUCUUGUACAUGGACAGGAUGGUUGACAUGUGGAGACAUAAAUCAGAGUUUGGCCCCCCAAUGACUGCCUUUGGAGUCUCCUGAACAUCACACUUGUAGUUGGGGAGGAGUCUUUCUUGGCUAGAGAGAAGGUCCAUGGAGGCUUGAUAGGUCCAGCUUGGACUGAAAUGGCUGUUAUAGAUGUGGAAACCCAGAGAGAUAUUGGGCAAGAUUUUGGGAUCUUCAUUUAUCUCUUUUACAGCAAAUGCCAAAGCCAGGAUAUGCUGGUAGAGUGGUGUUACUGGCCUGUAUGGAGAGCGACAUAGUGCAUAACAAUUCACCUUCACAAAAAUGGAUUCCCACAGUGAAGGAAAGUGUGUAGAUAUAUUGAAACACAACCUUGGAUGUUUUGCUACCCUGAACAUCUAACUCCUGCCAUGUUAAAGGCGGCCUGGCCCUGAUUGCUACUAGUUCUGUUCUACAGAGGAGAAAGAGAAAGUCUGGUUACCAAAAGCUUAUAAUAAAAUCACCUCUAAGUCUG